rnacentral:rRNA from 1 species
AGUGAACGCUGGCGGUAGGCCUAACACAUGCAAGUCGAACGGCAGCACAGUAAGAGCUUGCUCUUACGGGUGGCGAGUGGCGGACGGGUGCGGAAUACAUCGGAAUCUACUUUUUCGUGGGGGGUAACGUAUGGAAACUUACGCUAAUACCGCAUACGACCUACGGGUGAAAGCAGGGGAUCUUCGGACCUUGCGCGAUUGAAUGAGCCGAUGUCGGAUUAGCUAGUUGGCGGGGUAAAGGCCCACCAAGGCGACGAUCCGUAGCUGGUCUGAGAGGAGGAUCAGCCACACUGGAACUGAGACACGGUCCAGACUCCUACGGGAGGCAGCAGUGGGGAAUAUUGGACAAUGGGCGCAAGCCUGAUCCAGCCAUACCGCGUGGGUGAAGAAGGCCUUCGGGUUGUAAAGCCCUUUUGUUGGGAAAGAAAAGCAGCAGGUUAAUACCCCGCUGUUCUGACGGUACCCAAAGAAUAAGCACCGGCUAACUUCGUG